rnacentral:lncRNA from 1 species
UGAAAAUUGUCACAGUUUUCUCUUUCUAAUUUAGGUCUCUUCCAGAGAGACCUAUAUAUUAAAAGGUGCUGUUUCUUCACUUUAUUCCUUGGCAACAAUGAAUUAUGCAUAAAGUAAAAACAUUGCCUCUCAGGAAGUAAAGCCAUCAGAAGAUGUCUCAGAACAGCUUGAAAUCUUUGGAAUAGCUUUUUUUUUUUUUCAACUGCAAUAAAAUCAGUGCAGUUCAGAAAACUCGACCUUUCAGUAUCCGAGAAGGCAGCUUUGUAAGCACUUUCUGUUCGAGGAACUUUGUUAAGCAGCUGAGGGGAAUCUGACCCAGCUCCUGUGUUGUCUGGUGUAGACAGGGCACCAGACUGGGAGUCAAGUGGCCUGGGUGCUUCUUCACUGCCACCAGCACUUCCUAAUAAUGGCAAAUUUACAUUUUGUUACGGUGCUCACAGCUUACAAAACACAUACAUGUGCAUCAUCACAGUUUGUUCACCUGUAAGAUGAAAGGGUUGGAUUCUUUGUUUUCUGUGGUCUUUUCCAGUUCUAGUGCCUUGCUAGUCUGAUAGUGUGAAUUAUUUUUUAUUACAGCUGGCGCUGCUGCUGCAUCAGGGCCAUCCUUUCUGCAAGACACAAUGACCACAGCAAAGAGCGGGAAAGAUAACUUUCCACGACAUCGCCACAUUGUUUGACGUCCUUUCAUCAAAUCACUGUAUGCUAUUAAAAGUCACCGUGUAACUGGAGUUACAUUAUUCACAGAGGCCAUUAAGACUUCUCUUAUUAGACAAUAUAACUUUUGUGACAGAAAUAGGCUGCACAGAUCUCUAAGAUAAAAUUCACGUUAUUGCACAUUUUGUUUCUCCAGUCAGGUCUUCAACACGUAAGAUAUGAUUACAACAUUAAGGCUUUGUACAGCAUGAGGUAAAAUAUCAGGAAGAAUCUUGAUGUGAGCCACACCUCUUUUAGAGUGAGAAAAAAAAAUUUUUUUUUUUGUCAAUUGUACAGAAGAGGACACAAUCUGAUAUAUUUUACAACUGAUAAAUGACAUUGGAAGAGUACAGGUUGUCAAGACAUGCUGGAAAAUAUAUUCACUUUUCAGCAAGUAACUAGACACAUGGUCAAACAAAGCCUUAAGAAAUCUG